rnacentral:lncRNA from 1 species
ACAACAAAAAUACAGCAGCAAUAACCAAUCAUACAUGAAUUUAACAUGAUAAAGAAAAACCGGAAAAUAGUUCAAUGAAAGUGUUGAUACCUCUUAUGACCGUAGUUAAAAGUUUUGAUGAAAUUCCAACCUCCUCACGUCCGAUUGCUUGCCUUCUUGUGUUUGAUUCCGUGUGUGUAUAAUGGGAAAAGGGAGGGAGCCGAAUGGAGCCUUUCUUUUGUGUCUU